UGAUCGAACAGAUCAAAAUUUUAAACUUUUGCAUUUAAAUUUUAUCUUAAUCCAACAUCGAGGUCGCAAACUUUUUUUUUUAUUUGAGCUAAAAAAAAAUAUUACGCUGUUAUCCCUAAGGUAAUUUUUUCUUAUAAUCAUUAUUAAUGGAUCAUUUAAUCAUUUAUUUAUGUUUAAUUUUUAAAAAAAGUUCAUUAAAUUUUUCUAUCACCCCAAUAUAAUAUUUAAUUUUAUUUUAAUAAAAAAUUUAAUAUAAUUUUAAAAUAAAAAUAAAUAUAAAACUCUAUAGGGUCUUCUCGUCUUUUAAAAUUAUUUUAGCUUUUUAACUAAAAAAUAAAAUUCUAAAAAUAAAUAAGAGACAGUCUAUAUUUCAUCAAAUCUUUCAUACAAGUUUUCAAUUAAAAAACUAUUGAUUAUGCUACCUUUGUACAGUCAUUAUACUGCAGCCCUUUAAUAAUUAUCAGUGGGCAGAUUAGACUUUAAAUUAUAAUCAAAAAGACAUGUUUUUG
rnacentral:rRNA from 1 species